rnacentral:tRNA from 1 species
GCAAGUACAGUUUAACCCAAACUUUAGACUGUGAUCCUGAAAAUAGAAGUUAGACCCUUCUUACCUGCC